rnacentral:rRNA from 1 species
CUCGUCGUCAGAACGAACGCUGGCGGCAGGCCUAACACAUGCAAGUCGAGCGCGCCCUUCGGGGUGAGCGGCGGACGGGUUAGUAACGCGUGGGAACGUACCCUUUGGUAGGGAAUAGCCACUGGAAACGGUGAGUAAUACCCUAUGAGCCCUUCGGGGGAAAGAUUUAUCGCCAAAGGAUCGGCCCGCGUUAGAUUAGGUAGUUGGUGGGGUAAUGGCCUACCAAGCCUACGAUCUAUAGCUGGUUUUAGAGGAUGAUCAGCAACACUGGGACUGAGACACGGCCCAGACUCCUACGGGAGGCAGCAGUGGGGAAUCUUAGGACAAUGGGGGCAACCCUGAAUCCAGCCAUGCCGCGUGAGUGAAGAAGGCCUUAGGGUCGUAAAGCUCUUUCGCCUGUGAAGAUAAUGACGGUAGCAGGUUUUAAAGAAACCCCGGCUAACUCCGUGCCAGCCGCCGC